GUGAGGAAUAUUGGUCAAUGGACGAGAGUCUGAACCAGCCAAGUCGCGUGAAGGAAGACGGUUCUAUGAAUUGUAAACUUCUUUUGUGCAGGAAUAAAGUGGGUUACGUGUAACCUUUUGUAUGUACUGUACGAAUAAGUAUCGGCUAACUCCGUGCCAGCAGCCGCGGUAAUACGGAGGAUCCGAGCGUUAUCCGGAUUUAUUGGGUUUAAAGGGUGCGUAGGAGGAUUGAUAAGUCAGCGGUGAAAGUUUGCAGCUUAACUGUAAAAUUGCCGUUGAAACUGUCGGUCUUGAGUGCAAAUGAGGUAGGCGGAAUGUGUUGUGUAGCGGUGAAAUGCUUAGAUAUAACACAGAACUCCGAUUGCGAAGGCAGCUUACUGGGAUGCAACUGACACUGAUGCACGAAAGCGUGGGUAUCAAACAGGAUUAGAAACCCGUGUAGUCC
rnacentral:rRNA from 1 species